rnacentral:rRNA from 1 species
UUCGCCCUUAGAGUUUGAUCCUGGCUCAGGACGAACGCUGGCGGCGUGCCUAACACAUGCAAGUCGAACGGAGAUGUUUAUUUCGGUAGAUAUCUUAGUGGCGCACGGGUGAGUAACGCGUGAAUAACCUGACCCGAAGAGGGGGAUAACACCUGGAAACAAGUGCUAAUACCGCAUAAGACCACGGACCGGCAUCGGUCAGAGGUCAAAGGAGGAAUCCGCUUUGGGAGGGGUUCGCGUCCCAUUAGGUAGUUGGUGAGGUAACGGCCCACCAAGCCGACGAUGGGUAGCCGAGCUGAGAGGCUGAUCGGCCACACUGGAACUGAGACACGGUCCAGACUCCUACGGGAGGCAGCAGUGGGGAAUAUUGGGCAAUGGGCGCAAGCCUGACCCAGCAACGCCGCGUGAGGGAAGAAGGUUUUCGGAUUGUAAACCUCUGUCGCAGGGGACGAAGGAAGUGACGGUACCCUGUAAGAAAGCCCCGGCUAACUACGUGCCAGCAGCCGCGGUAAUACGUAGGGGGCGAGCGUUGUCCGGAAUUACUGGGCGUAAAGGGAGCGUAGGCGGUCGAUUAAGUUAGAUGUGAAACCCCCGGGCUUAACUUGGGGACUGCAUCUAAUACUGGUUGACUUAGAGUACAGGAGAGGGAAGCGGAAUUCCUAGUGUAGCGGUGAAAUGCGUAGAUAUUAGGAGGAACACCAGUGGCGAAGGCGGCUUUCUGGACUGACACUGACGCUGAGGCUCGAAAGCGUGGGGAGCAAACAGGAUUAGAUACCCUGGUAGUCCAUGCCGUAAACGAUGAUUACUAGGUGUUGGGGGAUUGACCCCCUCAGUGCCGCAGUUAACACAAUAAGUAAUCCACCUGGGGAGUACGACCGCAAGGUUGAAACUCAAAGGAAUUGACGGGGGCCCGCACAAGCAGUGGAGUAUGUGGUUUAAUUCGAAGCAACGCGAAGAACCUUACCAGGUCUUGACAUCCGAUGCAUAGCACAGAGAUGUGUGAAAUCCUUCGGGACAUCGAGACAGGUGGUGCAUGGUUGUCGUCAGCUCGUGUCGUGAGAUGUUGGGUUAAGUCCCGCAACGAGCGCAACCCUUAUUGCCAGUUACUACGUUAAGAGGACUCUGGCGAGACUGCCGUUGACAAAACGGAGGAAGGUGGGGAUGACGUCAAAUCAUCAUGCCCUUUAUGACCUGGGCUACACACGUACUACAAUGGCGUUAAACAAAGAGAAGCAAGACCGCGAGGUGGAGCAAAACUCAAAAACAACGUCUCAGUUCAGAUUGCAGGCUGCAACUCGCCUGCAUGAAGUCGGAAUUGCUAGUAAUCGCGGAUCAGCAUGCCGCGGUGAAUACGUUCCCGGGCCUUGUACACACCGCCCGUCA